GUGGGGAAUAUUGGACAAUGGGGGGAACCCUGAUCCAGCCAUGCCGCGUGUGUGAAGAAGGCCUUAUGGUUGUAAAGCACUUUAAGCGAGGAGGAGGCUACUAGUAUUAAUACUACUGGAUAGUGGACGUUACUCGCAGAAUAAGCACCGGCUAACUCUGUGCCAGCAGCCGCGGUAAUACAGAGGGUGCGAGCGUUAAUCGGAUUUACUGGGCGUAAAGCGUGCGUAGGCGGCCAUUUAAGUCAAAUGUGAAAUCCCCGAGCUUAACUUGGGAAUUGCAUUCGAUACUGGAUGGCUAGAGUAUGGGAGAGGAUGGUAGAAUUCCAGGUGUAGCGGUGAAAUGCGUAGAGAUCUGGAGGAAUACCGAUGGCGAAGGCAGCCAUCUGGCCUAAUACUGACGCUGAGGUACGAAAGCAUGGGGAGCAAACAGG
rnacentral:rRNA from 1 species